rnacentral:sRNA from 1 species
GCCGGGUGUGGUGGCGCAUGCCUGUAAUCCCAGCAACUCAGGAGGCUGAGGCAGAAGGAUCUAGAAUUCAAAGCCAGCCCCAGCAAUUUAGUGAGACUUAAGCAAUUCAGUGAGAACCUUAUCUCUA